UUGUUCAAAUCUGAGGAACCGGAAGUGCACGCCAUACUGAGCAAUAAAGGAAACGUUCAGCUGAUGAUCGAUGGGUUUUCGUUCUCCCGCGAAAAGGUUCGACCGAAAUCCGUUAGAUGGAUUUGCAACCAAGCAUGGGUUAUGAGCUGCAAAGUUCGUGCCACUAGCGAUAAACUAACUGGCAAAUUGAUAUCGGUCCGGGGAUCACACAACCAUGGCGUGAUCAACAACCGACGGAAAUGGGGUCAAUGUAAAUACAUCAAACAACAAUACGAACGGAUCUCGAAUGUUACGGAGGAGCCUCCAAGGAAAGGAGGCCGACCCAGAAAGCAGUCGCCAUUAGAAUAACUACAGUUUUUUAUCAAGAUAAAUACAACAAAAUUUCAUGCUCUACUAGUGUUCUAUUACUACAAUUUUAAUUUAGCCUUGAUAGAUUCGACAAAUAUUUUCAACUUGCGAUCAUUUGCAGAUGGCGUUACAUAUGUGAUAAGCAAUCGAGGAACAGUGCAGCUGUGCAUAAAUGGUUACAUUUUCACUAAAUCACAAGUGCGUGAAAGAAUAAUUAUUUGGAUUUGCAAUCAACGGAGAGCUCACGGUUGCAAAGCUCGAGCUACCACUGGUCGGGAGCCAGGAAGUGCGGUUAUUUCAAUCCGGGAGGACCAUUCCCACGACAUCAUCAUCGGGCGUAAUCGUAGCCGUAGAAAACCGAAUCGCCAGACUGAUAUCAUUUGCUCCGCCACCGAAUCAGAGCUGGAUCAUGAUGAGUUUGAUAUCUUGUAGUAAACGAUGAACUGUAAAUGAUUUUUUUAUGCCAACUAAUGCAAGAGUUAUAUAUGGUUGAACACAAUUGUCUUUCACAUAAGUGAAAAUGCUCCUAUGUCUUCCUGAGCAAGAAAGAUAUUUCAUUUGUAAUAAGCAAACGCGGAAAAACCCAACUGUGUGUGGAUGGAUUCCUCUACAUGCGUGUGAAAGCAACAGAAGAGGUGCAAUAUUGGUCGUGCAAUCAGUUCAGAGUAUUGGGUUGUACGGCUCGUGCUACUACUGGGCGAGCAAAGAAAAAUGAACAGCCGACCAUCAAACUGCGUGGUUUUCACAAUCAUAGAAUUAUUCUGAAACGCCGCAAGCCCGGAGAGUGCACGAAAUUGAAAGAAUUGUACGCUCGUCGACGGCUAUCGCAAGCUGAUUUGAAACCUGCUGUACCAGAACAACAGUGGCCCACAUAUCCAUCAAAACCACCCCUAAUGGAACCAUGUUUUAUGAAGACAGAAAAAUAAUGAUUCGUGCUUCAAAAAAAUACUUCACAUAGACAAAUCGAGUCCUAAAACCUGCCGGUAUGAUGCUUCCGCAUCAAGACUUUCACUACGUGGAAACCAAUAAGUCACUGAAACUAAUGAUACACGGUUACAGCUUCACCCGGAAGCAGAUACGCGAACGGUACACGAUCUGGGAGUGUUGCCAGUCGAGGCCACUUGGCUGCAAAGCGGCCGCCACCAGCUAUUUUGAGGAUAACCGUGUGAGCUUUCGCGGAGCGCACAACCACGCGAUCGUGACGGAGCGGCGGAAACUCGGUCAACGGAAGCGCCUGAUGGAGAAACGUCAACUGGAGCGAAUAGGGCGGAAAAUCAAACGUGACAAUUGAUUUAAUAUAGAUAAAAAAUAUAUAAAUUUCUAGCAUUUGUUCAAAGUUCAGCAUUAUAUGCACAGCUCAAUGCACACUAAUUUUUUAGAUGACUUAUAAAGACACAGCUUGUGCAAAGUACAAGUUGGAAGUAUUUGAAUAGUAUCAGUUAGAGAGAUGAUAAAAAUGAAACAAAAUAUCUAUUACAUGUUAUUUUCCUACAAAUUUAAUUAAAUUUUCAAAAAUAUUACAAAUGUUUAUAACUUGGUAGUUGUAAGUAUUUCAUUGGGCGUUGGUUCAAUUUCAGAUCUGCCGAAAUCGUUUUUUGUUCUAAGUGGCCAAGGAGCUCUGCACCUAUCGAUCGACGGAUUUGUUUUCGCGCAACAGGUGACAAAACACGACUCCAUAGAUUGGGCUUGCUCUCAGUCGCAAACAUUACAAUGCAACGCUCAGGCAACAACAGCGCGGGGAAAAGAUCGCAAGGUGCUUUCGAUUAGAGGCGAACACAACCACGGCGUAAUCACCGAACGUCGCAGAAAUGAUUCCCUGAAGGAUCUUGUUAAACAACGGAAGAAAGAGCGUGAUGUGAGGCGAAUGAGGCUGGCUGGAUCUCGCCAGCAAUCGAAUUAGAUGUUGCAAGAGACUUGAAUAAAUCGAAUUUCAUAUUACAAAUGUUGCGAUCGUUCCAGAAAAUCAGUCCCAUACUUGGAAAAAAUCGGCACUGAUUUGCUGUUUCGUGUUAGAUGUACAUAAUCUUAUUGUAGUACUAGAUUGAAUAUCCGUUAAUUUAAAUGGUCCAUUUCUUUCAGUACAUGUUACUGUGAACUAAUGUUUGACAUACAAUUUGUUUCGUUUAUCAUUACUUGCUGCUCUUAUUACGGUUGUAGAAGAAAAUGAAAACGAACCUUACGUCCAGUAUACGAUUAGCAGUCGUGGCACGCCACUGCUGUUGCUCGAUGGGUUCACCUUCACCAGGGAUAAAGUACGCAACAGUGUUACCUCAUGGAGAUGCUCUCAAUAUCGCACUCUCAGCUGCAAAGCACGCGCCAAUGCCGUCCGAGAUCGCAGCGGUCAGAAGAAAAUUGUUAUCAAACAUUCGCACAAUCAUCCGCUCGUAACCGAGCGCCGGAAGAAAAGUUCCUCUAAAUAAACAUAUGCGCUUCUACUAGUACCUCAUUAAACAUAGCCUGAAACUGCACAAGUCUUGUUUGCUCUUUAUUAUAAUUGAUUUUUAUUUUCAAAUCGUCAAAUUUGGAUAAAGCCUCAAUGAAUAAGAACGCUCAACUACUUCUAGGGACAGUAAUGUAUGCCGUUAGUCGUCGGGGUCGUCGUCAAGUCUGCUACUUGGGAUACUCGUUCGAGAUGGAGAAGGAACGAACUGGGUCUACCAGUUGGCGUUGCAAUCAAGCAAAGCCGCUCAAGUGCAAAGCUAGAAUAAUCGAGCGGUUCGACAUGUGCGGUGAUCCGAUAUACGAAAUCGUACGUUCAGAACAUAAUCACGAGAUCAUCACCGAACGACGGCCUCGAGGAUCGUUGAAACGGUGUGGUGUUAAAAGUUUAUUGCAUGUGAUUGAAUAAAUAUUAAUUUGACUUGACUCUA